CAAGCGAGCACCGUAGCUGAUGAGAUGUGUAACGGAGAAGAGUCAAAUCACGACUGGGGGAAUCAUAUAAGUAAAAUCAAGGCCAUCGAGCUCAUCACUCGUCUCCUCGUGCGGAUGCGCAAGCCAACCGCCAUAGGAAGACCGCGAAGCCGUGAGAACCCAGCACUCGCUCGGCUUGCUAAACAACAAUGUGCGAGAGCCAAACAGUCGCAGCCUCUGUCCUUCACAGACGACGAACCUGUAUCGCGCACGUGAAACUAAACAAGAGAUCAUCUUCUGAGUUCCGGCAGAUUCAAGCGCACCAUUCGGCGGUCACGGCGCAGGUUAACACUAGCGCAUCUGCUAUACCCGUAAGGCACCAAGAAACGAUUGCCCGAGGCCAUCGCCAACGUCGGAUACACACAGCAACCUGUCUCUCAUGUUUACCCGCCAAUACCAUACCUUGCUCUCACCGUCUCUAUACCAUGCCACCAGCAGUCCCGCCAAACCCGAUUUUUGUAACGAAAGCAUCUCUGAAGCCAUUGGAACGUAGUCACUGGGCAUUCGGAUUGUUCAACUAAUCUGCACCGAUGAAGAAAACGAUAGUCGUGUGCGAUGGAGCCUGGGCACCACCGGAGCGGCUACUUGUCGCCUCCUCGCAAUGAAGCAGUAUGCGCUACGCCAACAUUUCAACUCUCCGCCACUAUCCUAGUUACCGGUGUCAUCCCAGAAUACUUUGGCGACUGUUGGCGAUUCCUCGAUAGCGUAUUGGCGUGUUUUCUGCUCCGUCGACAGCGAGUACCGCGAAUGAUGCUUCACGAGUCCCUUUCACGCAGAAAUUGUGGCUACGAACGAAAGCUUCCUCUUCACUUCGGAUCGACGCUACGGAUCCAAGCCUUUUUCCAUUUUGAUGUCUGCUUAUUUUUGUGGGUCAAAUUGACUUUCAAGUUGGCGCGAUUAGUUAUUGAAUGGUGAUUACGGUUGGCUUGCGCCUACCAGGCCCAGAUGACUGUGGUCAGCUCCUGGAAAGGCAGCUCCUGCUUUUCUCUCCCGAACGGGAGAGAUAUGGUUCCUCCAAUAUACCUACAGUCAGAAACGGGCAUUAGGACUUCAGCUUAGCGUCGCUCGUGAA